rnacentral:tRNA from 1 species
AAAGAAUUAGUUUAUUAUAAAACAUUAAAUUGUCAAUUUAAAAAUAUUAUACUAGUUUAAUAUUCUUAU